rnacentral:rRNA from 1 species
UGUAAGCGUAUACCAAAGUUGUUGCAGUUAAAACGCUCGUAGUCGGAAUUUGGCAGUUCCGGAUGUGUGCACGUCGUGUGCGCACUUCGCGGGGAUUGCUUUUGUGGUCUUGCGUAGGAUGAGGCACUUUUAUUAGUGAACGUCCUCACGCAACCACUUUUUACUGUGAGAAAAUCAGAGUGCUCAAAGCAGGCAUUUGCCGCGAAUGUAUUAGCAUGGAAUAAUAGAAUAGGACUUGGUUCUAUUUUGUUGGUUUGUUGGGACUGAGUAAUGAUUAAGAGGGACAGUUGGGGGCAUUUGUAUUUCGGUGCUAGAGGUGAAAUUCUUAGAUUACCGAAAGACAAACUGCUGCAGAAGCGUCUGCCAAGGAUGUUUUCAUUGA